CUACGGGAUGCACCAGUGAGGAAUAUUGCACAAUGGGGGGAACCCUGAUGCAGCAACGCCGCGUGGAGGAUGACGCAUUUCGGUGUGUAAACUCCUUUUAUAUGUCAAGAAAAUGACGGUAGCAUAUGAAUAAGCACCGGCUAACUCCGUGCCAGCAGCCGCGGUAAUACGGAGGGUGCAAGCGUUACUCGGAAUCACUGGGCGUAAAGGACGCGUAGGCGGGUGUGGAAAGUCAGGUGUGAAAUCCUACAGCUUAACUGUAGAACUGCACUUGAAACUUCUAAUCUAGAGUAUGGGAGGGGGAGAUGGAAUUAGUGGUGUAGGGGUAAAAUCCGUAGAUAUCACUAGGAAUACCUAAAGCGAAGGCGAUCUCCUGGAACAUUACUGACGCUAAGGCGUGAAGGCGUGGGGAGCAAACAGGAUUAGAUACCCCAGUAGUC
rnacentral:rRNA from 1 species